AACGAACGCUGGCGGCAUGCCUAACACAUGCAAGUCGAACGAUUCCUUCGGGCAUAGUGGCGCACGGGUGAGUAAUGCGUGGGAACCUGCCCUGUGGUACGGAAUUACUCCGGGAAACUGGAGCUAAUACCGUAUGUGUCUCCUGGUACAAAGAUUUAUCGCCACGGGCUGGGCCCGCGUAGGAUUAGCUUGUUGGCAGGGUAACGACCUACCAAGGCUACGAUCCUUAGCUAGUCUGAGAGGAUGAUCAGCAACUCUGGGACUGGGAGACGGCCCAGGCGCCUACGGGAGGAGGCAGUGGGGAAUAUUGGACAAAGGACGGAAGACUAAUCCAGCAAUGCAGCAUGAGUGAUGAAGGCCUGAGGGUGGUGGAGCUCUUACGAACGCGACGAUGAUGACGGUAGCGGGAGAAGAAGACCCGGCUAACUUCGUG
rnacentral:rRNA from 1 species